rnacentral:rRNA from 1 species
GACGAACGCUGGCGGCGUGCCUAAUACAUGCAAGUUGAGCGAUGAAGAUUGGUGCUUGCACCAAUUUGAAGAGCAGCGAACGGGUGAGUAACGCGUGGGGAAUCUGCCUUUGAGCGGGGGACAACAUUUGGAAACGAAUGCUAAUACCGCAUAACAACUUUAAACAUAAGUUUUAAGUUUGAAAGAUGCAAUUGCAUCACUCAAAGAUGAUCCCGCGUUGUAUUAGCUAGUUGGUGAGGUAAAGGCUCACCAAGGCGAUGAUACAUAGCCGACCUGGGAGGGUGGUCGGCCACAUUGGGACUGAGACACGGCCCAAACUCCUACGGGAGGCAGCAGUAGGGAAUCUUCGGCAAUGGACGAAAGUCUGACCGAGCAACGCCGCGUGAGUGAAGAAGGGUUUCGGAUCGUAAAACUCUGUUGGUAGAGAAGAACGUUGGUGAGAGUGGAAAGCUCAUCAAGUGACGGUAACUACCCAGAAAGGGACGGCUAACUACGUG